CCCUUAGAUGUUCUGGGCGGCCCGCGCACUACAUUGGCACUAGCAAAGAGAUCCUAGAUUGAAUUCUUUGGGGUAUUCUUCUAAAUGGUGUCGUGACUGGGAUAAAUCCUUGUAAUUAUUGGUUUUGAACGAGGAAUUCCUUGUAAUCGCGGUUUAUCAGCUCGCGUUGAAUGCGUCCCUGCCCUUUGUACACACCACCCGUCGCUCCUACCGAUGGAUCGUCCGGUGAAGCUCACGGAGUGACUGUUCACGCAACGGUUUACGAAGUGAAAUGGACCUCACGAUUUAGAGGAAGGAGAAGUCGUAACA
rnacentral:rRNA from 1 species